UACGUAGGGCGCAAGCGUUGUCCGGAAUUAUUGGGCGUAAAGAGCUCGUAGGCGGUCUGUCGCGUCGGAUGUGAAAGCCCGGGGCUUAACCCCGGGUCUGCAUUCGAUACGGGCAGACUAGAGUGUGGUAGGGGAGAUCGGAAUUCCUGGUGUAGCGGUGAAAUGCGCAUAUAUCAGGAGGAACACCGGUGGCGAAGGCGGAUCUCUGGGCCAUUACUGACGCUGAGGAGCGAAAGCGUGGGGAGCGAACAGG
rnacentral:rRNA from 1 species